GGCGCUCUCAGGAGACUCAGGAGAUAAAUAAUGGGAUUUAUUUAGACGAUGGGUUUGACAUCGACAGAGACAUACAAACUUGUACAAGCAAUUCAGGCUUAAUACUUUCAGAUCUAUCUAGCGCUUGGUUGUUAGUUAAUGUCGAGAAAUGCGUAUGGCAGUCCACACAAUACCUUACUUGGUUCGGAUUAAACUGGAAUGGGCAAACCGGCACCAUUAGUAUUAUUAGUGAACGCAUUGUUAAAUUUGACAAGGUUCUAUUUCUUUCUUGACUGUUACAACUGCAGAGUGCAAAAAUUCUAUUUAAGAUUUUGGAACCCAGGUUCUGCCGGGAUUGAUGCACUCUUUCCUUCGUGGGGGCAAAUGCUCUUUUAGUACCCCCGGUCCCUCGGGUAUAUCGGGUGUUAGCGUUUAUUUCACAGUCGUAAAGCCAUUUUUGUCGUGCUUUAAUGGCCUUCUGCCCUUUUCUUAUUUCCCAUUUUUUUAGUUUACAUAAAAGAUUACAUUGUAUUAGUCGGUAACUAAGUUUUAAUGCAUGGCCAUAAUCAUAAGUUCCUUCUCGGUUCCAGCUCGUGCAUGGACAGGGUCUCGUAGUCUGUUCUUAAGUGUGUCGGUUAUUUCAACUUAAUUUUUAUUUUGGUGCAUGAAUUCCUGUUAAUGCAUGAUAAUGUAGGAGUGUCUGUUGUUGUUAGUGUGUACUUAACUUAAUACAUAAAUAUACUUGUGUCAAACUGUUACAUUUGGCGGUUG